GGGUCCGCCGAUUGACAUCAUAUAGCUGGAUGCGGGUGCUCGUCAUGAGGGCUGCACAACUAUAAACAUUCUCGCGAAUUGUUAGAUAGUCCCUCAUGACGGCACCCCAGCGAGGAAUCCAGACCCCGGCAAUCUUCCUGCCCUCGCUGCAGUGGAGGAUGCUGAGGUCCAGCAGGACAGCCUCCACAAGCCUCGACACAUCGGGAGACUGCGCCGAGGGCCUGGGCCAGGGCCACGACGUGCUGGUAGCUGCCUCCACCUGGCCCGAUAACAUCCUCCUCCUCCUCCUCCUCCACCACCUCCCAGCCUGCUGCACCUCCAUUUGGUCCACGCGGGUGAGGUUUGAGGACUGAAGGAGAGCGCUGUGGUGUUCGAGGAGACGAAUCUCCUCUGGUUCCUCCUCCUCGAACUCUUCAUCACUGCCCCCCCACCCCCCCCCGGCUUCGUCCUCAUCAGUCCCUCCUGGAGCGUCAGGAUCAUCCAGGUCCUUCUGCAGCACAGCGCCCGUCGGGGAGAACAGGUACUCCACCUCAAUGAGUUCCCCUGUGGGCACACAGAGACACAGAUGUUAAAUGACAGACACCUAAGUCAGGUGUUAAACGUUACCGUUACCUCAGACAGAUUUAUGACUUACCUGUGUACUCCCUGGGCAUGGUGUACGUGUCGACCAGCGUGAGCCCAAGAAGCUCUUGGGUCAGCUGGUCGAAGCUGUGCUGCAGCUGGGCACUGUAGCAACGCAGCGCCGACCUCUGUCCUCCCUCGAUUCUCGUUCCACCGCACCAGGCCCUCCAGCAGGUACACCUGGAAGUGUACAUCACUUGCAGAUUGUCCUAAGCAGAAACAAAGCAACACAGUUAGUGUGAGGACAAAUAAACACACAAAUACAUAAUUGAGUCUGUGUUGUAAACCACACAUGUACUUACCUGGGAUGAAGCGGCACAGGUGCAGGUGGAACGAUUCCAGGGAAGUGGAGCCUCGGCCGCACCGGUAGACGGGGAGCCUCACCCCGCCUUUGGUGAGCUCUCCCGUCUUGGUGUAGAGGUCCACUCCCGCAGGGUCCUGGAUUCAGUCGAGGUGUCGGCGCAGCGUGCUCCAGAUCUCCUCCAUUCGGGCGCGGUCGAUCAAAGGGACGCCCAUGCUGUCCAGCACCUCUUGGACCAGCCGCUCCGUCUUCACUGCACCCCUGGUGCGGCGCCGGCAGUGACGGGCGAGCUCCUUGGCGGACAGCUUGACCUCCUGGGCGUCCCUCCCCUCCUCGGACUGCUUGGCUCCUCUCAGGCGGGACACGUCUUCGGCGUCCCACUCAAAAAUGGCGAAGGAGAGCCUCGCCAUGAAGAGGCCGUAGAGCUGGUGGCUGUCGGUUGGUCACCCCUCUGGCGAAACGCCGCAUGAGGUGCCACACGUCGAGCCUGACGACCAGCUCGUGCCACUCGUGGAACAGCUUGGACGUUUGACACUGUCCCACGGUGGCACAGCAGUCCCGGUCCACGUACAGGACCCUUGGAGGGGCCUUCCCGGCUUCGCGGUACCAUGCCAUGUCGACAAGUCCGCCCCCCUCAGCUGCGGUGAGGACGGACAUGAGCACCUGCCCGUACUCAUUGCCGACGUUGGUGACCCAGGCGGCCGUCCCGGCAGCACCGCCCGCAAGCUUUUUGGUGAUCUGUGGACACAGCAACACAACAA
rnacentral:lncRNA from 15 species